rnacentral:rRNA from 1 species
UACAGAGGGGGCAAGCGUUAUUCGGAAUUAUUGGGCGUAAAGGGCGCGUAGGCGGCUACACAAGUGGCGGGUGAAAUCCCUCGGCUUAACCGAGGAACUGCCUGCCAGACUGUGUGGCUUGAGACCGGGAGAGGUGAGUGGAAUUCCCAGUGUAGCGGUGAAAUGCGUAGAUAUUGGGAGGAACACCAGUGGCGAAGGCGGCUCACUGGACCGACAUUGACGCUGAGGAGCGAAAGCUAGGGGAGCAAACGGG